AUAUCUUUUGAUUAUUCAGUGUUAUAUAAUCUAACGCACAAGACAGUACGAGGUUUUUUCGGCUACGAAAAAGAGCUUAAAUAACGAACGCACAAAUCACAACAUAUAAGAAUCAUCCAGCUGUUAAACAUGACUGACACCAACACCGACAACAGCAUCCAUAACGUAGAAUAUGAUAUAAUACAGAUUUUAAACGAAUCACCGAUAACUAGCCCCGUCUCAUUAAAUAUGUCAAAUUUAUUCACUUCGUAUAGUGCUAUAACUCCACCUGAAGCAUUUUCUACGGAAUCAUACUCACCAGAUAUGUUCCCUUCGUCAUCGGAACUGGUGGAUGGAAAUCAACAGAGAGAAUUUUCCCCUAGUAUGUUGGACUUGCCGCAGUUAAGG